UGGGGGAUAUUGCACAAUGGGCGAAAGCCUGAUGCAGCGACGCCGCGUGGGGGAUGAAGGCUUUCGGGUUGUAAACCUCUUUCGCUAUCGAACAAGGCCCGCUUAGGGUGGGUUGAGGGUAGGUGGAGAAGAAGCGCCGGCUAACUACGUGCCAGCAGCCGCGGUAAUACGUAGGGCGCGAGCGUUGUCCGGAAUUAUUGGGCGUAAAGGGCUUGUAGGCGGCUUGUUGCGCCUGCUGUGAAAACGCGGGGCUUAACUUCGCGCGUGCAGUGGGUACGGGCAGGCUUGAGUGUGGUAGGGGUGACUGGAAUUCCAGGUGUAGCGGUGGAAUGCGCAGAUAUAUGGAGGAACACCGAUGGCGAAGGCAGGUCACUGGGCCAUUACUGACGCUGAGGAGCGAAAGCAUGGGUAGCGAACAGG
rnacentral:rRNA from 1 species